rnacentral:rRNA from 1 species
UACGUAGGUGGCAAGCGUUGUCCGGAAUUAUUGGGCGUAAAGCGCGCGCAGGCGGCCUCUUAAGUCUGAUGUGAAAGCCCCCGGCUCAACCGGGGAGGGCCAUUGGAAACUGGGAGGCUUGGGUAUAGGAGAGAAGAGUGGAAUUCCACGUGUAGCGGUGAAAGUGCGUAGAGAUGUGGAGGAACACCAGUGGCGAAGGCGACUCUUUGGCCUAUAACUGACGCUGGAGGCGCGAAAGCGUGGGGAGCAAACAGG